AGGUGUACGUGCGGAAGGAUCA
rnacentral:rRNA from 1 species